rnacentral:rRNA from 1 species
AGGACGAACGCUGGCGGCGUGCUUAACACAUGCAAGUCGAACGGUAAGGCCCCUUCGGGGGUACACGAGUGGCGAACGGGUGAGUAACACGUGAGCAACCUGCCCUUGACAUUGGAAUAACAGUUGGAAACAGCUGCUAAUACCGGGUAUGACCUGUCACCGCAUGGUGGUGGGUGGAAAGCCUUGGCGGUCAGGGAUGGGCUCGCGGCCUAUCAGCUAGUUGGUGAGGUAAUGGCUCACCAAGGCUUCG